GGCCCCGUCGUCUAGCAUGGCCUAGGAUGCCAGAUUCUCAAUCUGGAGAUCGCGAGUUCAAAUCUCGCCGAGGCCA
rnacentral:tRNA from 1 species